CAGGGCCAAGUCAGUGCCCACAAAGACUUACUCCAAUGAGGUGGUGACCCUGUGGUACAGGCCCCCCGAUGUGCUGCUGGGAUCCACAGAGUACUCCACCCCCAUUGAUAUGUGGGGCGUGGGCUGCAUCCACUACGAGAUGGCCACAGGGAGGCCCCUCUUCCCGGGCUCCACAGUCAAGGAGGAGCUGCACCUCAUCUUUCGCCUCCUCGGGACCCCCACAGAAGAGACGUGGCCCGGCGUGACCGCCUUCUCUGAGUUCCGCACCUACAGCUUCCCCUGCUACCUCCCGCAGCCGCUCAUCAACCACGCGCCCAGGUAGCCCCUGCGCCCGCCGCCCCUCCUGCUGCGGCCCUGGCUCUCCCAUCCCCAAUCAGGCACAGCCUGUGUCCGCGCCUUCUCCUUGCAGGUUGGAUACGGAUGGCAUCCACCUCCUGAGCAGCCUGCUCCUGGUGAGUGUCCUCCCGG
rnacentral:sRNA from 1 species